ACGAACGCUGGCGGCAUGCCUAACACCUGCCAGUCGCACGAGACCUUCGGGUCUAGUGGCGCACGGGUGCGUCACGCGUGGGAACCUGCCCUUAGGUUCGGAAUAACUCCCCGAAAGGGGUGCUAAUACCGGAUAAUGUCUUCGGACCAAAGAUUUAUCGCCUUUGGAUGGGCCCGCGUUGGAUUAGCUAGUUGGUAGGGUAAAAGCCUACCAAGGCGACGAUCCAUAGCUGGUCUGAGAGGAUGAUCAGCCACACUGGGACUGAGACACGGCCCAGACUCCUACGGGAGGCAGCAGUGGGGAAUGUUGGACAAUGGGCGAAAGCCUGAUCAAGCAAUGCCGCGUGAGUGAUGAAGGCCUUAGGGUUGUAAAGCUCUUUUACCCGGGAUGAUAAUGACAGUACCGGGAGAAUAAGCUCCGGCUAACUCCGUG
rnacentral:rRNA from 1 species